UACGUAGGGUGCAAGCGUUAAUCGGAAUUACUGGGCGUAAAGCGUGCGCAGGCGGUUAUGCAAGACAGAGGUGAAAUCCCCGGGCUCAACCUGGGAACUGCCUUUGUGACUGCAUAGCUAGAGUACGGUAGAGGGGGAUGGAAUUCCGCGUGUAGCAGUGAAAUGCAUAGAUAUGCGGAGGAACACCGAUGGCGAAGGCAAUCCCCUGGACCUGUACUGACGCUCAUGCACGAAAGCGUGGGGAGCAAACAGG
rnacentral:rRNA from 1 species